ACGGGAGGCAGCAGUGGGGAAUAUUGCACAAUGGGGGAAACCCUGAUGCAGCGAUGCCGCGUGGAGGAAGAAGGUUUUCGGAUUGUAAACUCCUGUCUUAAAGGACGAUAAUGACGGUACUUUAGGAGGAAGCUCCGGCUAACUACGUGCCAGCAGCCGCGGUAAUACGUAGGGAGCGAGCGUUGUCCGGAAUUACUGGGUGUAAAGGGAGCGUAGGCGGGAUUGCAAGUCAGAUGUGAAAUAUGCCGGCUCAACUGGCAGACUGCAUUUGAAACUGCGGUUCUUGAGUGAAGUAGAGGUAAGCGGAAUUCCUAGUGUAGCGGUGAAAUGCGUAGAUAUUAGGAGGAACAUCAGUGGCGAAGGCGGCUUACUGGGCUUUAACUGACGCUGAGGCUCGAAAGCGUGGGGAGCAAACAGGAUUAGAUACCCUGGUA
rnacentral:rRNA from 1 species